GUGGGAGGGGGCUUGCUCCCGAUUGCAGAGUGUCAGUUGCCAAUGAGCUGGCUGAUCCACCGCAAUCGGGAGCAAGCCCCCUCCCAC
rnacentral:misc_RNA from 1 species